rnacentral:rRNA from 1 species
UACGUAGGAGGCAAGCGUUGUCCGGAAUUACUGGGUGUAAAGCGCGUGUAGGCGGCAGGCUAAGUCUGUGGUGAAAUCCUUCAGCUCAACUGGAGAAGUGCCGCUGAUACUGACAGUCUCGAGGGAGGUAGGGGUCGAUGGAACUAAUGGUGGAGCGGUGAAAUGCGUAGAUAUCAUUAGGAACGCCGGUGGCGAAAGCGAUCGACUGGACCUCUUCUGACGCUGAGGCGCGAAAGCUAGGGGAGCAAACGGG